rnacentral:lncRNA from 1 species
UGAAAAUUUGAAAUUAAAUCAUAUAGACUAUCAUCUUUCUUGCAAGCACAAAUAUCUUCUGAUGAAGAUCUAUCAGAAUCAGAAUAUAAUUCUUCAUUAUGAAGAAUUCAUAAAUCAUCCGAACUAUAAUCAGUAGAAGAAUAAUCAGAUAUUUCAGAAUCAAAAUCAGAAUCAAAAUUUAAUAAAAUCUUACACAAAGAAUCUUUUAUUUUUUCAUCCAGAUCUAAACUCUUAAUCUUUUCCUGAGUUUUACACUCAUUCGCAUAAUGCCCAAAUUUACCACAUUUAUGACAUCUAAUCCUUUUUUUAUAAUCUUUCUUACCCUUCUUUUUGUAAACCUUCUUUUCUUUCUUAUCCCAAGAAGACUUAUCACGAGAAGUAAACUUUUUCUUAUACUUUCUUUUCUUGUCAUCUUUGGAAAAUUUAGAAAAUUUCUUUUUCUUUUUUGAAGAAUCAGGAAUAUCAAAAGCAAAUUGAUCACAAAAUUCUCCUAAUUGCUUCCUUUCAU